rnacentral:snRNA from 1 species
GGAUGUGAGGGCGAUCUGGCUGCGACAUCUGUCACCGCAUUGAUCGCCAGGGUUGAUUCGGCUGAUCUGGUUGGCUAGGCGGGUGUCCCCUUCCUCCCUCACCACUCCAUGUGCGUCCCUCCCAAAGCUGCGCGCUCGGUCGGUUGAAGAGGACGACCAACCCCGAUAGAGGAGGACUGUUUCCUCGGUCAAGGGUAUACGAGUAGCUGCACUCCCCUGCUAGAACCUCCGAACAAGCUCUCAAGGAUGUCCCUCCAGAGAUCAGUGGAAGACUGGAUGCUUGACCAGUCUCACCAUGCCCUUUCACACUUCCGAUACAACUGAAGGUGUCUGAUC